rnacentral:rRNA from 1 species
GUAGUUUGAUCCUGGCUCAGAUUGAACGCUGGCGGCAUGCCUUACACAUGCAAGUCGAACGGCAGCAUGAUCUAGCUUGCUAGAUUGAUGGCGAGUGGCGAACGGGUGAGUAAUACAUCGGAACGUGCCCUGUAGUGGGGGAUAACUAGUCGAAAGAUUAGCUAAUACCGCAUACGACCUGAGGGUGAAAGUGGGGGACCGCAAGGCCUCAUGCUAUAGGAGCGGCCGAUGUCUGAUUAGCUAGUUGGUGGGGUAAAGGCCCGACCAAGGCGACGAUCAGUAGCUGGUCUGAGAGGACGAUCAGCCACACUGGGACUGAGACACGGCCCAGACUCCUACGGGAGGCAGGCAGUGGGGAAUUUUGGACAAU